AACGCUAGCUACAGGCUUAACACAUGCAAGUCGAGGGGCAUCAGGGAUGUAGCAAUACAUUUGCUGGCGACCGGCGCACGGGUGAGUAACGCGUAUGCAACCUGCCUAUCAGAGGAGGAUAACCCGGCGAAAGUCGGACUAAUACUCCAUAAAACAGGGGUUCCGCAUGGGACUAUUUGUUAAAGAUUAAUCGCUGAUAGAUGGGCAUGCGUUCCAUUAGCUGGUUGGUGAGGUAACGGCUCACCAAGGCAACGAUGGAUAGGGGUUCUGAGAGGAAGGUCCCCCACACUGGUACUGAGACACGGACCAGACUCCUACGGGAGGCAGCAGUGAGGAAUAUUGGUCAAUGGGCGAGAGCCUGAACCAGCCAAGUCGCGUGAAGGAUGAAGGAUCUAUGGUUUGUAAACUUCUUUUAUACGGGAAUAAAGUUCAGGACGUGUCCUGUUUUGUAUGUACCGUUAUGAAUAAGCAUCGGCUAACUCCGUGCCAGCAGCCGCGGUAAUACGGAGGAUGCGAGCGUUAUCCGGAUUUAUUGGGUUUAAAGGGUGCGUAGGUGGUAGAUUAAGUCAGCGGUGAAAGUUUGUCGCUCAACGAUAAAAUUGCCGUUGAUACUGGUUUACUUGAGUAUAGUUGAAGUAGGCGGAAUGCGUGGUGUAGCGGUGAAAUGCAUAGAUAUCACGAAGAACUCCGAUUG
rnacentral:rRNA from 1 species